ensembl:lncRNA
UUAAUAGCUUUACAGUUACAAGCCCCAAAACUGUUUCCUAUUAAUGCUGAUUUAUUUUCUACUUACAUCUCUCUUCUCAGGUGGCAAAAUGUCUGGAGCCUCAUCUUGAAGAGCCUUGGAAGGGCCAAAAAGGUUCUUCCUUUUCCAGGUCACUGCCAGGUUUUAGAAGACACAGUUUUUCAGCAUCUGAAGCAGGAAAUCCCAGCUCUUUUCCAUGAGAAGAAGCACAGGGAUGACAGGGCUUCCCCCCAGAACACUCCCGGGGUAAUUGCUGAAGACAUUCCAAGCCACUCUAACGAAGUGCACUGUCUGCCAGUCAUUCUGUUCUCCUUGGAAGACCAUCUGUUGCACUUCAAAUAUGUAAAGGAGGCUUUAUUUCCCAGAUAGCUCCUACAGUAUUCAAAGGGCAAGUGAUAUCCAAGAUCCAAAAUUUGCCAAGCAUGGAUAUGAGUGUUCUCCAUCGUGUCUUCCUGCUCUGUAGGGCCGUACGUGGAAUUGGGAAAGGUGGUGGCUCCCAGUCAGGACAGCCUGGUAUUACUCCUUUGGGACCGGUGACUUCCCAACCUCUCUCCACGCGGGACGAUAAUCGCGCUAACGACGGCAGCGGCGCCGGAACUUCCGAGGUCUUGGUGUGGCCCUGGGCGGCCUUGGAGGAGCAUGUUUGGAGUGAAUCCUCCUCUUGCCAUGGUACUCAUGUGCAGCCACCAUGGAGAAAACCAUCUGUUCCCCUUGGAAGGGGGUUUGGUUCCCCAUGCCCUCCCCCGAUCCCGCUCCGUCCCCAGCUGCCGUGUUUCGACGAGCAGGGAACGAAUCCCCUGCGUUAAAAAUACUCUGGGUCUAUUUAGAUGAAAAGAACCUUGCUUGCCUACACUGACAUGCAAAAAUAGGCUCAGUGUGAGUAAAUCUUCAAACUUUCUUUUGGUGAAAAUACCCAGCCUGGCUUUUUUUUUUUUUUUUUUUUUUUUAACUUCUAUGAUAAGUUUAUUUAUAGAGUGUCCUUCUUUCCUCCUACUCCAUCAAGACAUUUGCAGGAGGUUGUCGCUCGUCUUGUUCAGGAGUCCUGAAAUAAUUUGCAGGGCCUUUGAAACAUCAUCAUGUUGCACAGUUGUGAUGCAUCGUGCUGCUGUUGCACCAACGUAUCAUAUUUUAGUGUGAAUGUCACGUUAACUGAGACAUUCCGGCCUUCCUUUUACUCCAGGUGCCUUACACUGGUUUGUAUUUUCAUUUUAACUCUGCAGUCAAAAAAUUCUGCGUAUAUAUAGUAACUUAAAAUUUUCCAUUCUACAUGCAAGGCAUUGCAUAGAAAAAUUAAUGUGUAAUAUGAGAAGAUUAACAGGAUGCAUAUACUUUCCAAAUAUCUCUUAAAAAUAGCUUUCACUGUCACUGUAGCAUCUUAAUUCUGAAUAAUCUCACAGUCCUUUUGCAAAUCUGUGCAUAUAGUAACAGAGUAACCACCUACUUCAUCCUCUUGAACUGCACAAUAUGUAUCUGGGCAUGAAAAAAACUGCAUUUUGGAGUAUGUUCUGCUUUGGCAGAGAGGAUGGCUGUGGGACUAGUGAGAGCAGUAAUGCCUGCGUUAAAUAUUAAUGCCAGCAUUCCCAAUACCUGCCUAUCUUUUUAAAAAGGCUCCAAGAUUCUGAGUGUGGAAUUUGCUCCACAGUGCAAAGCACCAGCACAAAUCUUGGGAAGCCUCUGCCAAGAGGUGGAAGUUGUGGAAAGGGAGCCAGGGUGGGUGUUCCC